AAGAGAUUGAUAUGGCAGGAGAAUUACUUGUAUGAAACUGAAGUUUCUUUCAUAGAUCACAAGGCUGGAACAGAUUACAGCUAUUGAUUGCUGCCUGGAGAAUGUUCUCGCUGUGAGAACGGAAGGCGAGCAGCAGUGACAGACAGCUCAGCUAUUGAUCUACUCCAGCAGGGAAACUGCACUUCAAAAUGAAGCUGCCACCAUCCAUGAUGGGCAAGAAUCCAGAAGACUGCUGCAGUAGUCCAUGAACUUUGUCUAUAUCUCCAGGCUGCAAUAACAGAAACUCACCCAAGCAGUAGCCAGCGGCCAUAGAUAGUUCAAGUACAAAUAUUGUCAAGGAGGACUUCAAAUUCAACUGGACAUUAGAAAUUUGUGAUCUAAACCUAGCUCACCAGCCAUG